AUGGGUAUCGUCAAUGAGUUGUGGAUAGGAGUCACCCAAGCCAGGGACAAAUUGAGGAAGGCCAUCUCAUCCAUAAUUAUGUUGAUCUCGUGGGAGCUAUGGAAGGAGCGCAAUGCUGGGGUCUUCCGCAACACUGUGAAGCCCUCUACGAUUGUGGUGCGUAACAUCAAAGAGGAAAUUAGAUUGUGGGUGCUCGCGGGCGCUAAGCAUGUGAGUUUUGUAAUGUCGCGAGAGUCAUGGUCUAUUCUUGCCUUCUGUUGGGCGCUAUUUCAAACUCUUUCUCUUAAUUAA
rnacentral:rRNA from 1 species